UGGGUUUUAUUUAGAUUAGAGAACUGUUACAGUUUGAAACGAUUUUAGUUUUAUAUUCCUGAAUAAUCUGAACGCAUUACAGCAAAAAACGUUCAAUUUUGUGUGCUUCUUACAAAAAAAAAGUUGUAUUUAUUUGUGACGUGUGAAAAAUUGAAGAAUAUAAUAAAAGUAAGACAUGUGGCCCAAGAGUCCGCGCAUCCGUAGGAACGAGCUGCUCGCCAAGCAGAACGAUGAUUCGCCCCGCUCCAAGAAGAAUUCCCCCCGGGCACCCUACAAUGUCGGAUCUGUGCUGAAGAAGCGUCGCCCCCAAAGCUAUAGCCAGCGCAUGCAGAAGAAGCUGCAGGGCAUCGAGAGCAAGGAAAAUGUCCAGAUCUUAAAAAUACCCAAGGCUGUGCUGCUCACACCUUCCUCCUCGGAAAUCUCACUCACCACAAGCAUGUCCAGAGCGGGUGUGCCUACCUAUACAGUGCAGCCAAAGCUGGAGAAGACUGCGGAGGCGGAGGCGCAGCCUGCUGCACUGCCUCCGUACCUGACACUCAAGCGGCAACAAACGGCGGCAAUGCUGAACUUUCGAGCACGCAAAUCUGUGUCCCAAAUGGAUUUUAAGGAGGCUCGGCGUACCGGCAACUAUCAGCUGGUGGCUCAUGUGCCCAACUCGAACGCCCUGGUGCCGGCUGCCCAACACCCAGAGGGCCGUAAGCUGACCAUCAAGGACGACAGCCUUACUCAGCUGUUGAUGCAGGACGCGGCCCAGCUGUGCGGCACUCGGGAGGGUAAUGUGCGCUUUGUGGUCAACGGAGAUCAGGAUGUGCGCAUUGCCAGUCUGCGCAUCUUCAAUACUAUCAUGUUGCGCUCCUGGCGCCGCCGUCGCGAGGAAGUGCGUCAUCUUAGCGAACAGGUUGAGGACUAUAAGCGCAGCUUUGUAAAGAGUCGAAAUCAGCUGCAUGUCUACAACACGCUUUUUGCUGUGGAGAAGCGUCGCAACGAUACUCUGAACGAUCAGCUGAAGCAAUCCUACAUGGACAGUGCCAAGACAAAGCUGUCUUACAAUGAGCUCAACAUUCUGCUGAGCCAAACCAACCAGGAGAAGCAGCAGUUGGCGCAGGAGAACGCCUACAAGACGCAGGAAAUUGAGAAUCUGCAGGAGCUGCUGCAGGCGACCAAAAAGGAACUCUUUCAGGCGAAUACGCUGCAGCGGGAGCAGCUCGAGCAGCUAGCACGCGUUCAGCUCGAGUGCCAGGCUGCCAAGUUCGACAUCGAGGAGCUGACGUCUCAGUUGCAUUCCCUGAGAUCAGAAUUGGCCGAAAAGCAAGAAUACGUGGAGAAAUUGCGUGAAAAUAUUGCCCGCAUUGCCGAGGAGCUGCAGCUGUCCCGCACAAGCCUGGUUGAGCACAAGUGCGAAAAGGAGCUACAAAUCAGUAAACUGAUGAAGCUCUCCGAGGAGCUGGAGAAAGAUAUCAAGCUGAAGGACGAGCAGCUGCUCACGCUGCAGAACUGCCUCGCCGCCACGGUGGGUCAGCGCAUCCGCCAGUGCUUCGCCCAGAGCCAGGCCUAUCAACAUGCCACCUAUCGCCUCAUGCACUUUGUCGCCUACUGCAUGCUACCCGGCACGCCCCCGCCAGCUCUGCCCAUGUCAUCUCUGCCAUGUGCCGUCAAAAAGCUGCGUGGACUUUUCCAUGGCGGCGCCGGUGGCGCCGACGGAGCCGAGGAUAGCCGGAUAACUUGAAUAUUUUCUAAUAGUCUAUACGAUUAAUACAUCAUAGAGCUUGCCAAGUCUUUGGUUUGGGUCGAGCAUACUUAAAUAGUUGCAUCCGCCAAAACACACCUGAUAAAAAAACCACAGGGACAAACGAGACAAACUGGACAGGUGAGAACGGGACAAGUAAACCAGCACCACAAAAGACAAAGCCCGCAACCAGGUAAGUGAAAAAUUCUAUAAAACUUACUCCCAUCCUGGGGUUCAAGCUGAUGCUGCUGUUUUUGCUGCUGCUGGAGCAGCAGGUGCAUGGGAUCGCCGCCAGUCUUUUGACGUUUCCGCCUCAGGUGUGCUGGAUCUAUAAAAAAGAGUUUACAAAGGGGACAAAUUGUUGGACAAGUCUUGACUCGGCUUAGAUUACUUAGACGAAUCUAUUAAAUACAAAAUCGGGCGCACUUUUCCGGCGCCCGCUCAAAACAAAUUCGCGCAACGAUUUUCCCUUUCCCUUUGGGGAAAACGCGCUGCUGCACAAAUCAAAUUUCGUUCGGGUAGUUGAGACUACGACUACCGCUUACAAAAUGGGGGGGUUUCGGUUCAAUAAAUCUAAAACAAAUACAA